rnacentral:rRNA from 1 species
UACGAAGGGGGCUAGCGUUGUUCGGAAUUACUGGGCGUAAAGCGUACGUAGGCGGAUUGUUAAGUGAGGGGUGAAAUCCCGAGGCUCAACCUCGGAACUGCCUUUCAUACUGGCAAUCUUGAGUCCGGGAGAGGUGAGUGGAACUCCUAGUGUAGAGGUGAAAUUCGUAGAUAUUCGGAAGAACACCAGUGGCGAAGGCGGCUCACUGGCCCGGUACUGACGCUGAGAUACGAAAGCGUGGGGAGCAAACAGG